CUUGUCGAAAAGCAGAUCGCCAGAUGAAGACAGAGUGAGGGAAAAGAGUGAAAUAGACUACUUUACACACGAGAGAAAUUGAUUGCAGCAUUGAUAUUGAGCUAGUAAAAGUGGCAAGAAGCCUUAGAUAUUGUGAACUGCCGUUCACACUUUCAUUUCCUUUGGAAAGAAGUUUUAGAAUCUCCGAUUGGUUUUUUUGUUGUGCAUAUUCUGCCACUGUUGAGAGAGAGAGAGAGAGAGAGAGAUAGAUACGGCGAGCCAGUGAUUCAGCGAUCCAGCGAUUCAGGGAUUCUGGACCCAGUGAUUUCAGUGAUUCUGGAGUGUGGACCAGCGCCCACCAACCCUGGUGGACUACACUCUUUUGGAUACAGAUAAGAUUUAUGAGAUCUCCAACCUUAUCACACUGCCCGAGUAGUGAUUUGAACAAGGCCUAACUGAACUGAACUGCAUUGAACUGACUGACUGAUUUUCUUUUAAGCUGACUGACUAUUAUUUUUGGGGGGAAUCUUUUGUCCUUGUUGUUUUCCAUGUGUUAUUAAUAUCUGUGCAAUAUUGAAAUAAAUGUUUUGAUACUGUUUUGCUACUCAAACAGUGGUCGUAGCCAAUUCACUUCGAGAGCCGAACCUAAUUCUGAUUCCUAGUACUAAAAUAUCAUUAAUACAGAUCAUAGUGAUAUUUACGUUGAUACCUCAAGUUACGAAAGUUACAUAUAGUAUAAGCAAACAACCCUUAGUGAUAAAGUUGAAGAUUAUAAUAUUUAAAUAAAACACGUAGCUGUCUGCCUUUUCCCUCAGGAAACAGCCGGUUGCCCCCAGAGUUGCAAAAACCUGUAUUUUGACCAGGAUGGAAUGAUUCCGGCGCGUUGCCUUCUCUACUGGACCCAAUUCAGUACAUAGAUCCAAGAGCGCAGGUUUAGGGAAUUUAAAUCAGCAUAAUUAGUCUGUCAACGUCGUGGUCCCUGAAAUCUCUUUCUCUCCUGAUUCUUCCAUUGGGGGGUAAGUCCUCCUGCAGUGCCAGCAUUGCCAUCAUGCACGGGGGUCACCGCAGAUUUUACAAGUUUACAACAAUUUGUGAUUGUUAACACCUUGCCAAAAUCACAGCAUCAACUAGUGGUAUCCCCCACCCAGAGAAACAAUUUGAAGAAGAAAGAAAGUGUAAUAGGCAAACACACUUUUCUUCAUGCAGAUUUGGUCAGGAACAGUAUUAAACUUCGGACCAAUAACGAGGACAUUAAGUGUAACGAUUACAUAAGAGCUUAACAUCUGCAUUUUCAGACUUUGACUUUUGAUGGUAUGUGCACAGUUUUCAAGACAAAUAUUUAGUUAUUUACAUUGUGUUCUGCAGUUAUCUAAUGCUAGGGUAUUUAAUGCUAUCUGGUAUUCCACACGGGUGUCACAUAGAUUUUAUGGUAAAAUCUACAAGAAACAGUUGGAGCUGUUCAGGAUUUUGCAAAGUUUGCUGUGAUUAAAGUAAGCCUUAUAGUGACCACUAUAUUGUAGUAAUCAGAGUACAAAGUCACAUGAUCCUGCGGGGCCCGUGGUGGAUGAGAUAGUAAAGAAAUAUGGUUCUGCCUGUAUAGCUAUAUGCUACCGUUUACCGUUUAAUUUCUUGUACUGCACUGUAACUUGUAUUACUUUAAUAUUUUUAUGUAAAGCUCUUUUAAUUGCCCUGUUGCUGAAAUGUGCUAUACAAAUAAAGCUGCCUUGCCUUGUCUUGCACUCGGGCCAUCUCCUCCUGCUGCGCUCUGUAGCAGGCAAUGUAACAGUGAGACAGCGCCGUUUUGAGUUGGAUUUUACAAGGUGUUUAUGGAACAAUGAUCACUCAGUAUUAGCGCACAUAACACUGUUGAAUGUAAUCUUCAUGAU